rnacentral:rRNA from 1 species
UCUAGAGGCUUCGGCAAUGGGGGAAACCCUGACCGAGCGACGCCGCGUGCAGGAUGAAGGUCUUCGGAUUGUAAACUGCUUUCGGCCGGAAGGAAAGCCUGGAUGGUGAAUUCAGGUGUGACUGACCGGCGGAAGAAGCCCCGGCUAACUUCGUGCCAGCAGCCGCGGUAAUACGAAGGGGGCAAGCGUUAUUCGGAUUUAUUGGGCGUAAAGGGCGUGUAGGCGGCUGGGGAAGUCCGGUGUGAAAACG